CUAGAAUGAGUAGCUGAGUUUGUUGGAGUUACAGAGCAUCAUUUUUUCAAAAAUUGUUCAGAUCUUAAAUACUUUGUACUUUCUGGGCUUCUUUCAUCAUUCUCUGGAACUGAGAGAUGGAAUGAGAAAAUAUUCAGAAAUCAGAAAACCUGGAAGCAUAUAUAAGCAUAUAUAUAGGCUGAGGAAGAGGUGGGAAGAUACAGAAAACAAGCAAGAAAUCUCUAUCCCCAUAGUCUAUAGAGAAAAGCUUGCGUGAGUAAGGAAAACAUACAGCUGGCUCCUCACAAGAUUACCAGUAUCAUAUCCUCCAUAUCUCGUCGCCAACCACAAAAAUGAAUCCGCUCUGUAGUCUUUGGAGUAAUUAAGUUCUUUGGCAAGUUUCCUCUCUGAACCUGCAACAUUCAGGUAAAAUGAAAAGGAAUUAGGAACUUUGAUUCAAACUCACCACAAUCAUAUCAUCAAUGUCUCGUCUCCAUCCAGUUAGUAGAAUCUUCUGUGGCUUUCUUGUUGGUCGGACAAUGUGCAUCAAAGAUGCUUCUUUGACCUGAAUAACCAAAUUAAUUAUACCUUAGAAAGUCUAUUAAUGCCACGUUCUGCUUGCUUGAAUUCCAUGCCUAGAAUCCCUCAAUUGCGAAGCAGAAGAGGAUCUCCUUCAUGUGAUCCACUAAAUGUUGAAGUCAUCGAGUUUUUUUAUUCCAUUUAUUAAGACUUUUAAUGGUUAUCAUGAAUCUAAUAAAAGAUUUUUUGUGUCCUUUGAGAGGUUGUGAGGUUGGCAUUAAUAAUUUUUACUUGCAAAUAUCCAAACUCAAUUAUCUCUGCAGUAUGAAAAUUUACAAUCUAAUAUAAAUUUGUUCAAUUUUUUUUUAUAACUGUGGUGUCCAGUCCAGUUUGCGCUCAUCUCGACUAAUUCCACAGUAUACCUGUUACCUCCUACCAGCACCAGGUACUAGGCAACUCUAUCCACCAAGGCACACCCACCAAACUCAAUUAUCUCUGCAGUAUGAAAAUUUAUAAUCUAAUAUAAAUCUGUUCAAUUUCUUUUUUGAUAACUGUGGUGUCCGGUCCAGCUUGCGCUCAUCGGAACUAAUUGUCCACCAAGGCAAGAAUAGAUGAGAAGAAAUCACCUGGUGUUUGUCUGUCUUUGUUGGGAAUUGAACCUUAGACCUCCUUGUGCUCAACCCAACUUCAUUGAACCAUUAGGCCACACACUUGGGUGCUUAAAUUUGUUCAAUUUUCAUGACCUAUAUUAUAUUGAUCAUAAUAAAUAUCGAAUGCAGUUCAUAUGCUCCAAAUAGAAGCCGAGAAAAAAGGUUCUCGACAGUAUCUAAAGCUUAAUUUAGACCGAAGUCAACCAAUUUAUCUUAUUGAUGAAUAUACUCUUAAAGAAUUGUAUAACUUUGUGAUGUAUUGACUUUUUCAUCAGCGUUAUAAUAUGUGAUUUGGGUUCACUACAUUUUCAAGCAGAGAAACAAGAGAAUAUAGCUAUCUUAAGAAAAGGGGAAGCACCAUAGGCAGUGCUGUUGGAGCAUACGAGUCAUCAUCCUCGGCAAUAACAAGGACUUCAUCUCCUUCUUGCAACACAUAGGAGUCAUCGGGAUUCAGUAUUAUUUUCCC
rnacentral:lncRNA from 1 species